CAAUCUCCACAGUGGUGGUGAAGGCGCACACAUGGCACUUGAAGAAGGCCUCCUGCAUCUCUGGGAUCAGGUUGGACGUGCGGAUCACCAUGCCACAGAUUGUGAUGAGCUGAUCGAUCUCUGGCAGACAAAAGACAUAAGAUUGAGGGAGCGCAUGUUCUUGGUUUUCUCAGCAUUGAAGGGCCGCACUUGAAUCUGGUGCUCCAGGAUGGUGUCUGGGUAGCGCUCAAAGAACAUCUCAUUGAUUGCCAUGUCCAGGCUGGGGAUCACCUGUGCAGGGCAGCAAGCAGGAGAGGAAAGAAAAAGAGUUGUAUGUGAGGGCAGCCCAUAAAGAUGUGAAAGGAAAGAAAGGCUAGUUAACAGUACAACACAAUCCAAGAUUUUCAAAUGUAGCUGAUGAUGUAAAAGAGAAACAUCUAAUUCAACCCUAUCCCUUUUACAACUCUGGUCAUCCUUUGCUAACCUUCCUGCCACUGAAAAAAUUGUUUGGAUGGAGAGACAGGUGAGAAAAGAGAGAAAACAGGUUAAUAUUGCCUUUUUAUGCUGCAGAAUAUUUAUGAGAGCUUAGCACAAGAAUAGGAUAAAAAAAAGGUUAUAUGCACUAAAGUAGAAAAUUUGUAGAAGUAAAAGGAUUAAAAAAUAUCUCCCCA